UCUCCCUCUCCCUCUCAAUCUCCCUUGAUCUCCCUCUCCCAAUCUCCCUCGAUCUCCCUCUCCCAAUCUCAACCCUCUCUCUCGAUCGCCCUCUCCCGAUCUCAACCCUCUCUCUCGAUCUCCCUCUCCCUCAAUCUCCCUCUCCCUCGAUCUCCCUCUCCUUCUUCCGAUCUCGACCCUCUCUCUCUCGAUCUCCCUCUCACUCUCCCUCCCUCUCUCGAUCUCCCUCUCCCUGCAACAUCCCUCUCCCUGCAUUUCCUCUCAAAUGAAAGAUGCAGUCGUGCAUUUGAAUCUGUGGAAGAAGAGAAAUCAACAGUAGAGAAUGCAGGACAAAGUUAGCAUUGACCCAUGGUAGUCCAGGUUCAACUCUCUCUACCUUGUUAGGCAUCUGUAUACUUGGGUUUAUUUUCAUGGUAUUUUGAUUAUUUACAAUGGCACGUUCUUUAUUAUUAUUUUUUUCCCCUCGUCUUUUCUGGUGGCGAUAAAGCAAACAUGUUCAACAUGAUAAAUAUAAUUACUAACUAGACAAUGUAUUGUGCUUGUAUUCCAUUUAUCUGAAAAUGGCUUCCAGUUUUCCCA